AUGGAAUUGUUCACUUUAACGUCGCCGGUACUCAAGCAGCGUCCUCGCACUGAACGUAGAAUAAAAAUAUCGACCGUUGAAUCAGCCCUGAAUGAAAUGUAACCUAGAACCACAAAUCACUUAUGAGAGUAGGUUGCACAUAUCUGAUACACGAUGUACCUACAUAUAUAUAUCAAUAUUAAACACACAAGAGAAAAUACACCACCUUCAUCUUCCAAUUUGCAGAGGAAUUUCGUUACACGGUAGCUUGGCUCCACCUGACGUGUCAUAUCUAUGAGACAUAACAACUUCCUGAUUCCAAUGAAAAUGCUACAACAGAAACACAACACUAUAUAGACAUAUGUUAUAUACAAUUAUAAAAUUAAUAACCGCCAUUUUUUAAUUUUAGUUAAUAAUUAAAAAUUAUAUUGUU